CUCCUCCUCUCCUCAUCCUCCAAAGCCUCUAAUCUGUCAGCAGUGAGCUCACUUUCCAAGUUCCAAGGCCAUUCUCAGCACACACUGACAACAUGCUGGGGACCCUGUGCACUCUCAUCACUGCUCUAACAUGUGUGAGUGCUGUGACGCUGGUGACACAGAAGCCUCCUGUUGUGACUCUGAGGAGAGGAGAGACAGCCACCAUGGACUGUAACCUGGGGACUGUGACUAACGAUUAUGCUCAUUGGUACAAACAGAUUCCAGGAGGAGUUCCUCAGUAUAUUCUCAGGAACUAUCACAGCUGGAGCUCUCCAAGCUAUGGCUCUGGUUUCUCCUCUCCAAAGUUCACAUCCACUCAUCAGUCACAAUCAGAUUAUCGUUUGAUCAUCAGCACUGUGGAGGAGAGAGACUCAGCAGUUUAUUACUGUAAGACAUGGGACAGCUCUGUCAGUGAGUACGUAUCACAGUGAUUUACACCGUGACAA